GCCGAGGUAGCUCAAUGGUAGAGCGCAGGACUGAAAAUCCUGGCGUUGGCAGUCCGAUUCUGCCCCUCGGCACCA
rnacentral:tRNA from 1 species